rnacentral:rRNA from 1 species
UACGUAGGGUCCGAGCGUUGUCCGGAAUUACUGGGCGUAAAGAGCUCGUAGGUGGUUUGUCGCGUUGUCCGUGAAAACUCACAGCUCAACUGUGGGCGUGCGGGCGAUACGGGCAGACUGGAGUACUGCAGGGGAGACUGGAAUUCCUGGUGUAGCGGUGGGAUGCGCAGAUAUCAGGAGGAACACCGGUGGCGAAGGCGGGUCUCUGGGCCGCAACUGACGCUGAGGAGCGAAAGCAUGGGGAGCGAACAGG